AAUAUAAUUUACUAGAUACCUGUAGGCACGUCAAAUUCAGACGUAUAAUUUCAUUUUAUUAUUAUCAUGGACUAUUUACUACACGUUUUGGUAACGAUUUGCGAAUAAACUACCUAUUUGAAGAAAAGAAAUACAUACCUACUCUUGUAAAUAACAUUGAAUCGACAUGACUGCUAAGGUACAGACUUCCUGUUUUGAGGGAGUUUUUAAAUUGUGAGCUGAAUCGCUGGCUGAAUCAGUUGUUGUGUGUAUGCGGGUCUAGGCAGAAUACACCAGAACCUCCAGGCUCCAACAUACAUUAUACUUAUUUGCCGCAAACAAAAAUACUGCAAAAAAUUAGUACAAAAAGCAAUUUUCCAGCACAACUCUAUUUUAAGUAAGUGUAGCAUGAGCGGCCGCGACGACUGGGUGCCGCUGGCGGCGGGCGUGGUGGUGGGCGCGGGUCUGCUGGCGCUGCUGUACAAGAUGCUGAGCGGCCGCGCCGCCUACAGUGCCAAGUCGCACAACUACGGCGCCACCAGCUACGUCUGCACCUGCAAGGGAAGCGAGCAGGCCUGGUGUCAAGUUCACGGUGACGGAAAGAAUGUCAGAUAAGAACAGCAACCUAGCAAUAAAAGAAGAAAUCAGAUCUGUCCUUAUGUCGCUGCCAUUCUGUCAAAUGGUCAUAACACUGGAACAAAUUGUUCGAAAUUAUUGUGAAAUACUUACUGAGAUAGUUAUGUUUUUAAAAUAAAUAAAAACGAUCCAAAAAUGGAAAAACCAA